rnacentral:rRNA from 1 species
UUUAUAGAGAGUUUGAUCCUGGCUCAGGACGAACGCUGGCGGCGUGCUUAACACAUGCA